UACGUAGGGUGCGAGCGUUAAUCGGAAUUACUGGGCGUAAAGCGUGCGCAGGCGGUUCGUUAAGUUCGUUGUGAAAGCCCCGGGCUCAACCUGGGAAUUGCAUUCGAGACUGCAUUGCUGGAGUACGGAAGAGGAAGGCGGAAUUCCCGGUGUAGCAGUGAAAUGCGUAGAUAUCAGAAGGAACAUCAGUGGCGAAGGCGGCUUUCUGGACCAAUACUGACGAUCAGGUGCGAAAGCGUGGGGAGCAAACAGG
rnacentral:rRNA from 1 species